UUUCCAUUAUGAAAUUAUAAUUCGUAAACUAUUCUAAUUCGAAAUCUAUCGUGUAUAUGUAUAUGUAUAUAUGUAAACGAAUUUGAAAUCGGAUAUUUAUCGUAAAUUAAUUCGACGAAAAAACAAAAUAAAUAUCAGUUUUAUAUAAAUUUGUUCCAUUAAAUAUACGAUAGUAAUUAACCGUUUGAAUCCCAAGUAGCAUGAUCGCACUGUUCAGAUUUUAUGUCGAGAAAAUCCAGCACAUUUAGAGCGUUGUGGACAACUGACGUUGCGUCAUCGACUGUCGAAGUCGCUCGCUCAGAUUUACUGACAUUACGCAUUGUCGCAAGUUACAUCGUGACAACUUUAUUAAACCAAAUCACUUUCCCAACUGCAAUAAAUGUGACGGAGUGAUGUGAAAAAGGUGAGAAUCACAUUACCUAACACAUCUUAUAUGUGCAGAACAUAAAAUGUAAGAAGCACUAUUGCCCCGAUUGGGAUUCAUCGACAUAAAAUAAACGAAGCGCUAUCGCACCGCUUGGGAUUUAUCGACACAAAAUAAAAGAAACGCUAUUGCGCCGCUUGGAUCUUUUCGUACUCAUUUAGAGAAAACGCGGUUACGCUGUUCGGGAUUCUUUGACAGUGUUUUUUCGAUACCCUCUGGGACUCAAACGAUCGGCUUGUCGUUAAAUUUGUUAUAUGAAGUUCUCUCUACCAAACAGAGAAAGAAGGUCACCAAUGUAACUUUUUACUCAGAGCCGUGAGACAGGAGGACGGUUCAGGUGUGGAUGAUUCACGUGGAAUUUCAAAUGGUAGGGGGUUUUGAGUGAGCAUCGGAUUAGCCAAGUACGAAAGAAACAUUUAUUAAGAUCGAUAAGAUUAUCAUCUUGUUGAAAAUUCGAUUAUUGACCCGAUUAUUUAUUAACACCUUAACAUUCCAUUCUACAUCAUAAAGAUGACAUAUCCGGUUAAAAGUAGUUCAAGAAGAAAGAAAAGAAAAUACACACACACGUAAAAUAAAACGAAAAAAAGGAAUAAUGAUCUUAAAGAAAAAUCAUCAUCAAAUAUUUGAAGCGAGCAUUCGAUUAACAAGUUAAUUGUCUCAAAUCAUCGAAAAAAACAACAGAACAAGAUGAUUAGAAUCAAGAACUAAAAUUCAUUCGUUUAACCGUAUGUGACUCAAUGAUGACCACGUGAUCACCGUGUUACGCAUCAGUAAAAAGUGUGGUGUUGUCGACGUCAGAAUAAUUACCUCGACAGUAGAGAGUAAGAGUGAAGAAGAUAAGAACGAAUAUUGUUCGUAAUGUCAUCUUUUUUGCCGGCAUUUUCGUCUUCAUGUUUUUUUCUUCGCACACUU